rnacentral:rRNA from 1 species
GACGAACGCUGGCGGCGUGCUUAACACAUGCAAGUCGAACGGAAAGGCCCUGCUUUUGUGGGGUGCUCGAGUGGCGAACGGGUGAGUAACACGUGAGUAACCUGCCCUUGACUUUGGGAUAACUUCAGGAAACUGGGGCUAAUACCGGAUAGGAGCUCCUGCUGCAUGGUGGGGGUGGGAAAGUUACGGCGGUUGGGGAUGGACUCGCGGCUUAUCAGCUUGUUGGUGGGGUAGUGGCUUACCAAGGGUUUGACGGGUAGCCGGCCUUGGAGGGUGACCGGCCACAUUGGGACUGAGAGACGGCCCAGACGGCUACCGGCGGCAGCGGUGGGGAAUAUUGCGCAAUGGGGCGAAGCGUGAUGCAGAAGCGCCGCGUGCGUGAUGCCGGCCUUCGGGUUAUAAACCGCUUUCGCCUGAGACGAAGCGUGAGUGACGGUAAUUGGUAAAGAAGCACCGGCUAACUACGUG